rnacentral:siRNA from 1 species
UGAGGAGACAGCUGCUGCUACC